UAAUGCCAAACACAUGUCAUGUUAAUAAAUGGGUUAAAUUAACGUCUAUUAAAAACAGACGCUCAGAUUAUAUCUCAAAGCAAAACCCAAUUUUCUGUUGUAUGACAGGGACGCACCUACAAGAGGAGGAAAGGCUAAGCAAAGGGCUAUGAAGCAAGAGCGAAGAGAUCAAUCAGGGCCUGUAAUCUUCACAUCAGACAAGGCUGAGCUCAGAGCGGCAAGGACCGAAUGGGACAAAGGAGGACCCUAUGCAGAAACUACGGUGGCCACAGGGAAAAUUGAGGACACAUCAGGUGUUGGACCUGUUAAUUCACCCCCUUCACUCACGACAGAAAAAAGGCCAGAAGAAAAAAAGACAUAAAGGAGCUACGUGAUACAUCAAUAAGUGCUCAGAACCACCGGGGAUCCUCCCACCACAUGUGGCCUGGAGAUGGUGUACGCCAAGAGUGGGCUGCUCCUUCACUUACUGACAAAGAGAAUCAAACGCUCAACAAAAUCACAAGGAUAUUCUGGAAAAAGGCAACCAGAGGGACUGAAAGUGGAUCAGAACUUGCCUGGAGGGCAGCGCGGGUGGCUCAGCAGUUUGGCGCCGCCUUCAGCCCAGGAUGUGAUCCUGGAGUCCCACGCCAGGCUCCCUGCAUGGAGCCUGCUUCUCUCUCUGCCUGUGUCUCUC